rnacentral:tRNA from 1 species
GAUGUCAAGACGGCUGCCACAAACACCCACGGACA